GUCACUAGGGAGCUCGUCAGAAGGAUCUAAAGUUGACAAUGUAGACAGGCCAAUAGAUCUACUGACAGAAGAAGCACAAAUGAAGGCACCUCCCGUUGAUGAUAUUCUUGCAGCAUCAGUGAAGUUAUUUCAGAGUAGUGAUACAAUGGCAUUCUCAUUGACAGAUUUAUUAGUCACCCUUUGCAACCGAAACAAAGGAGAGGACCGUCCAAAGGUGGCAUCUUAUCUUAUUCAGCAGCUAAAACUUUGUCCAUUGGAUUUUUCAAAGGAUUCUAGUGCAUUGUGUAUGAUAUC
rnacentral:misc_RNA from 1 species